rnacentral:rRNA from 1 species
GACAGAGGUGGCGAGCGUUGCUCGGAUUUACUGGGCUUAAAGGGCGCGUAGGUGGCCUUGUAAGUCAAAGGUGGAAUUCCACAGCUCAACUGUGGAACUGCCUUUGAUACUGCAAGGCUUGAGUCAGGUAGAGGGAGGCGGAAUUCCCGGUGUAGCGGUGAAAUGCGUAGAUAUCGGGAGGAAGGCCGGUGGCGAAGGCGGCCUCCUGGGCCUGCACUGACGCUGAGGCGCGAAAGCGUGGGGAGCAAACAGG